GAAAGGUCUCAAUCCUCAUUGGCUCUUCAUGCAUUUUGUAUGACAAACGGAAGUUUCUCGUUAGCUUUUCAUCAGUUUGUUAUUGAAUUGCUGGUAUGCACGUAUAUAUAUGUGUGUGUAUGUGUUGGUGGGUGUAAAUGUGAUUUGUUGUGUGCGACACAUUGCUCUCCCAAAAGGAUGUUACAUCGACAAACAGGGGCACAAAGAGAGAAAAGCUUUUUGUUUCUCCACUUUCACUUACACUCGCACAGAAACACCCACCCAAACGAGCCAGACAAAGAAAGCCAAUGUACGUCACACACACACAGACAAACAAAUGAAUGUGUCCGGGACAUGCGCAAACCGCCGGGCAUCAAGGAAUUCAGUUGAACACCGCAUCUUUGCCAAUGCACAACACAAUACAGACGGCCUCCAAUUCGAAUGGAUAUUUCAAAACAGUGACAACGACGACCGUAAUCCUGUUCUACCACCAGGAUCUACUAUUCUGUCACACUUUGUUCCUAUAUCAAAUACUAGGCCGGAGCCCCUAUUGCUCCUGCCGUGUUGUAUUCGUCGAGAUUAGGCAAUGUUUCUAUUUCCAUUGUUGUUUUGUGCUGUGUAUUUUUUAUCAUAUAAGUUUCGAAUGUGUAGUGCCAAUGAUUUGUUAACAAUGCCUGCCAGCGUGUCUGUAAAAAAGUGGUUCGAUGCUUUGGUUGGCAGGCUAUUCGAAAAAAGUAAAGGUGGCAGUAUCAAUACAAUUCACUUCAUUACGUAAAUGGUAAACUUGGCACAAAAUUCACAUCCGUAUCCGCUUAAAACGACUGAGUUAGAUUCGUCGAACCGAGUGCCAAUAAAUCCAUCAAUCUUUCAAAUGCAAUUCGCUCUAUAGGCCACAAUUGAAAACUAAUCGACACGGAAUUUCGCAUCAGAAGAGAGUUAAGGACAAGGAAGAAGUCUAGCAUUUUGGAUGAAAAUUGGAUUAUAUUUAGCUGUAAAAUGGACCACAACUUUCGUGUGAAAUUGUUUUAAAUACUUAACAACACUACGGAGUGCGUAAAUAUUGGCCAAAAAAAAAGGGUAACCUCUGGGCGGGGCUUUUUGACAUUAUUUCAAGAACAAAAUCAUCCAAAAUGGAUUUGGAUAUAAGGGGACUUCGAACAUAUUGUAGUGUUGUAGGGUAUCACAUGGUCGGCCCCGCACGACUAUAGCCUGUGCUUACUUGUUAGAUAUACCGAAUGGCAUUUAGAGGGCCAUAAAAGAGUUGGAAGGUGUACCUUAAGCCAGCCCAUUAAGAAAUGCACUUUCCUGGACCAGUCUUACUUGUCGGCCUACCAAAUAUUGUCGUUUACACCUUUAUGGUGGAGUAAUUUGCCUAUAAAUCUCAUAAUGAAAAUUUUACAGGAGUGGCAUCAGGAACGGGUUUGAACAACUUCGUUCCAGGGCACAAUGAGUCUAGGCACUGGAAAUUCGAAACGAAAAUUCAACAGAGACCUUUGGGUUGAGGGAAAGUGGAAAGUUUUCGGAGGAGUAUAGAGAGGCUCCAAUAAAUGUUUUAUUUUCCCAGUGGAGGAGAGGAGAAGGGAAAGUUUUUAAACCCUGAUAAAAAAUAGAACAGUGUUGACAUGUUUGUUCGGGAUACCGUAGUAUUUUGUUGUUGCAAAAUAGUUAGGCUGAAUCCCAUGUUGUUUUUAUAAAAACAACGUUUGUUUAUUAGUGGAGAACGAUGGUAAUGUUUACCAGGGGGUAAGGCAGGGAAUACCUAGGUUUUAGUUUUGCUUUUUGUCUGGGAUAUUCCCCCAGAAGUAACUUUAAAAUAUCUCAUAUGACAAAAAAAAAAUUACCCAAAUGACGAGAUCGUAAGCUAAAUACAAGAGGAAUAAAAAAAUCGAUUAUAGUCACACUUUGUUGGAAAGCUUAAAAUACACUGUCGGAGUUGGGCUAUACCCACAAUAAGGUGAAACUUCCCUUGAAUUUUUUGGACCCUCAAACAGGGUACCAUUCUAAUACUAUUGACAUCCUAUGCAUUUUAAACGGAUAUAUUCAAAAGUAUAUACUCUUAUUGUGGUUCAGCAUUACCGGCAAAGACAUCAUUCUGAAUGCUUAAGGAAUAUAUAGGUACAAAAGUGUAUGUUCUUACAGUGGUGCAGCAUGACCGGCAAAGACAUAUUUUCUGAAUUUUUGAAAUAUGCGGGGAUGAUGUGCAACCCUGCCAACUCAGAAGCGGAGGAAGAGGGGGUAACAUUUUAAGCAGAAACCUUGAAGAAGAUAUAGAAAUUUGAUUUGUUUAUAAUUAAACAAAUAUUGUAAUUUAAUCAUAGUAUAUAAAUUAACUUUUCAAUUUUGAUUAUUUUUGUUUUUAAUGUGUACAUUUUGCCGUUCUUGGGAUUUUCUCCUCUCCAGCAUUUAAAUGUGAAUAAAUCUUUUGUGUCUCUCGUACCAUCGCUCCAUUUGGCAAAUAUCGAAAAAUGAGCUCGGGGUAAUGCCCUUGAAAUUCCAAA